rnacentral:rRNA from 1 species
GACGAACGCUGGCGGCGUGCUUAACACAUGCAAGUCGAACGAAGUGGAGAACGGGUGAGUAACGCGUGAUCAACCUGCCCUUCAGAGGGGGACAACAGGUGGAAACGACUGAUAAUACAGCAUACUGAAGGUGGGGAUUGCGUCGGAUUGGCGAGUUGGAGGGGUAACGGCCCACCAAGGCGAUGAUCAGUAGCCGGUCUGAGAGGUUGAUCGGCCACAUUGGGACUGAGACACGGUCCAGACUCCUACGGGAGGCAGCAGUGGGGAAUUUUGGACAAUUGGCGAAAGCCUGAUCCAGCCAUGCCGCGUGUGUGAGGAAGGUCUUCGGAUUUUAGAGCACUUUAAGUUGGGAGGCGUUACCAACAGAAUAAGCACCGGCUAACUUCGUGCCAGCAGCCGCGGUAAUAC